GUUUGGGCUAGAGUCGAGCUCGAGCAAGAAAAAGAAGUAGAAGAAGCUGAAAAUUACAUGAAGAAAACUAAGGACUAUUUGGAUUCUGUAAUGGAAAGUGCCAUGGAAGAACAUCGUCUUUUUGAGGAGGAAAUGAAUAGGAUGGCCAUGGCCGAGCAUGACAGCUUGGUGAAUGAAGCUAAGAUUGCAAGAAAAACAAGCAAAUCAUUAGAAAAGGCAGCCACUUUUACUUCAAAUAAGUAUAUUGAGGCUGCAGCAAAAUCAGCUUCUUCUUCAAUGAAAACUGCACUUAAAGCUGUUUCUUCUGACUCUAAAAAGGUCCAUCCUUCAUAGAGAUGAAUAUUUAUUCUAACUUCCGUUGAAAAAAGGGCAAAAUUUCUUGAACCCUUCAUUUAGUUAAUGUAUCUGUUUCGAUUCUGACCUCAAUUUCCACCUUUGGAUACAAAAAAAUGAUGAUGUUGAUCAUGUUUUUGAAUGCAUUGCUUGCUUUAAUAUUUACAUGGUAUGCACAUAAGACCGUGGAUCUAGCUGUUUUGAAUCUUUGAGAAAUUGCCACUCUCUGGCCGGGCCUCAACAUUUUUUAUGAAGCGCAGUAUGGCAAAAAAAUGCGUGUUGUGUCGAGUUCGUAGACGGCU
rnacentral:lncRNA from 1 species